GAUGAGCAAGUGAGGUAUGCUAAGAUGGAGCGACAGAGACAGGAAAAGGUGACAUUGGGAGGCAGCCUUGGGACAUCCUUCUCUGGCAGGUGUGGUGCAGGCCUGGAGAAGGUGAAGGACAAGCGAAGAGCCUCAUUAAAGGAUUGGCGAACAAAUCUUGUGGUCCAAUUCGACUGCGGUCCUCCAACUGGAUCACAAACAUCGGUUCAGGUUCAAGUGACGCCACUCACGCCGUCAGUCAGGCAACUACUGUCAUCCACAAGUAAUGGAAGGAAGAAAGAGGAGAGAGAUAGAAGACAAAGAAGGAAGAGGACAUAAGAACGAAGACAAUAGAAGAGGAAGGAAAAAAGAAGAAAUGAGAGAAAGAUAGAGGAGAGAGAAAGAUAGAAAGAUAAAGAAGAAAUAAAGGAGAAGUAUAAAGAAGAAAUAAAGGAGAAAGAUAAGAAGAGGAAGGGAAAAAAAGAAAUGAGAGAAAUCUCUCUCUCUCUCUCUCUCUCUCUCUCUCUCUCUCUCUCUCUCUCUCAUGCCUAGUAGAAGAACCUGGUGAGUCCCCGUCAGAAACUUGAAAACAUUUUCUGUUCCAGCGAGAGCUCGCGAAAGACUUCCCAACACGUGCGAGUGACUGGAUGGUCUGGGAAGUACUCACCCUGGAAACACAGUGAGGGAUUAAUAAAAGGAAGGAUAUUGGCA